rnacentral:rRNA from 1 species
UACGGAGGGUGCAAGCGUUAUCCGGAUUCACUGGGUUUAAAGGGUGCGUAGGUGGGCAGGUAAGUCAGUGGUGAAAUCUCCGGGCUUAACCCGGAACUGCCGUUGAUACUAUUUGUCUUGAAUAUAGUGGAGGUGAGCGGAAUAUGUCAUGUAGCGGUGAAAUGCUUAGAUAUGACAUAGAACACCAAUUGCGAAGGCAGCU